AUUGAACGCUGGCGGCAGGCCUAAAACAUGAAAGUCGAACGAGUGGCGGACGGGUGAGUAAUGUCUGGGAAACUGCCUGAUGGAGGGGGAUAACUACUGGAAACGGUAGCUAAUACCGCAUACCAUCAGAUGUGCCCAUAUGGGAUUAGCUAGUUGGUGGGGUAACGGCUCACCAAGGCGACGAUCCCUAGCUGGUCUGAGAGGAUGCCCAGCCACCCUGGAACUGAGAAACGGUCCAGACUCCUACGGGAGGCAGCAGUGGGGAAUAUUGCACAAGGGGCUCAAGCCUGAUGCAGCCAUGCCGCGUGUGUGAAGAAGGCCUUCGGGUUGUAAAGUACUUUCAGCGGGGAGGCGUUACCCGCAGAAGAAGCCCCGGCUAACUCCGUGCCAGCAGCCGCGGUAAUUC
rnacentral:rRNA from 1 species